rnacentral:rRNA from 1 species
GCACGUAGUUAGCCGGUGCUUCUUCUGCGCAGUAACGUCACAGUUGCUGGGUAUUAGCCAACAACCUUUCCUCCUCGCUGAAAGUGCUUUACAACCCGAAGGCCUUCUUCACCCACGCGGUAUGGCUGGAUCAGGCUUUCGCCCAUUGUCCAAAAUUCCCCA